rnacentral:rRNA from 1 species
AGUCACUGACAUUAGAUACCCCCGUAGUCCAGGGUGUAAACGCUGCAGACUUGGUGUUGGAAGUCCUUUGGGGGCAUCCAGUGCCGGAGAGAAGUUGUUAAGUCUGCUACUUGGGGAGUACGUCCGCAAGGAUGAAACUUAAAGGAAUUGGCGGGGGAGCACCGCAACGGGAGGAGCGUGCGGUUUAAUUGGAUUCAACACCGUAAACUCACCAGGGAAGACUGUUACAUGAAAGCCGGGAUGAAGACUCUGCUAGAUUUUCAG